rnacentral:miRNA from 1 species
CAAGUGCUUCUGUGUUUUAGUGG